rnacentral:sRNA from 1 species
AAGCCAAUCUUCUUACCACUCAGCCACCAAGAUCCCCUUUACAUGUGUGAGAUUGGAAAACACGUGGACAUUUCCACAGACUUCCUGAUAUCACUUACCUACAUACAGUUACAAGUUUGUUAUUUGUGCAUUAUACCUCCAUAUGCCUCCAAAGCUUAUUACCUAUAAACACUAGAGUACUUUGACAGUGAACCCGCUACAUGCAUUUAUAACGAGGUUCAUUGUAGUGCAUGACUGUAUUAGUUAGAAAUGUAAUACAUAGGUCAGACUCUGCACCGAGUUUCUCCUGCGCUAGGAUUUGUUUUUUUGUUCUUAGCCUCUGAGGCUGAGGUUGAGAGUGUUAGUUCGUAUAAGAAUAAUUGACCAUACACACAAGCCAGUCGCUCAUUGACCUGUCUAACUUAAUCAAUGUCUUAAUGAAUCGCUCAUUAUGCACUAGGGUGCGGGGCGGCUCCAGCAUGACGGGGGUAAAAAGGGAACGCCUUUGAUCACGGAAAGAAAUUCAUUUGUUCUAAUCAAGUUCAGGUGUGGUGUUUAAAUGAUCUGGAUUCUUUGGUGUGUGUGUGUGUUUUUUUCAUAGUAAACUCUAGGUUUUAAUGAACCAAAGGACAAAGUGUUGCAGAGAAACUAAGAGAUAGAGGGUGUGAUAUCGGAGAACAGAACGCCAUAUUGAAGUUGUAUAUGUGCUAUGGGUGCAGGGUGUGUGAACAGAACGCCAUAUUGAAGUUGUAUAUGUGCUAUGGGAGCAGGGUGUGUGAACAGAACGCCAUAUUGAAGUUGUAGAUGUGAUAUGGGAGCAGGGUGUGUGAACAGAACGCCAUAUUGAAGUUGUAGGUGUGCUAUGGGAGCAGGGUGUGUGAACAGAACGCCAUAUUGAAGUUGUAGGUGAUAUGGGAGCAGGGUGUGUGAACAGAACGCCAUAUUUAAGUUGUAGAUGUGAUAUGGGAGCAGGGUGUGUGAACAGAACGCCAUAUUGAAGUUGUAGGUGUGCUAUGGGAGCAGGGUGUGUGAAAAAAACGCCAUAUUGAAGUUGAAGGUGUGCUAUGGGAGCAGGGUGUGUGAAAAGAACGCCAUAUUGAAGUUGUAGGUGUGCUAUGGGAGCAGGGUGUGUGAAAAGAACGCCAUAUUGAAGUUGUAGGUGUGCUAUGGGAGCAGGGUGUGUGAAAAGAACGCCAUAUUGAAGUUGUGUAUGUACUAUGGGAGCAGGGUGUGUGAA